GACGAACGCUGGCGGCGUGCCUAACACAUGCAAGUCGAACGGAAAGGCCCUGCUUUUGUGGGGUGCUCGAGUGGCGAACGGGUGAGUAACACGUGAGUAACCUGCCCUUGACUUUGGGAUAACUUCAGGAAACUGGGGCUAAUACCGGAUAGGAGCUCCUGCUGCAUGGUGGGGGUUGGAAAGUUUCGGUGGUUGGGGAUGGACUGGCGGCUUAUCAGCUUGUUGGUUGGGUAGUGGCUUACCAUGGGUUCGACGGGUAGCCGGCCUGGGAGGGUGGACGGGCACAAUACGACUGCGCUACGGCGCAGUCUCCAACGGUAGGCAGCGGUGGAGAGUAUUACACAGUGGGCGGGAGCGUGAUGAGACGGCGCCGCGUGCGGGAAGACGGCCUUCUGGUUGUGAACCGCUUUCGCCUGAGACGAGGCGUGAGUGACGGUACUGGGUGAAUAAGCACCGGCUAACUACGUG
rnacentral:rRNA from 1 species